UAUCCUUCUCAGCGUUCAGGCUAAGAUCAAGUUUAGUAUCUGUUCUUAUCAGUUUACUAUCUGAUACAUCCUCUAUCACUGAUACUCUUGUGUGAAUAAUGAACUCAAUUGUUUUUGAGGUGAUGAUUCCAAAUACCUAUAAACUUGGAAUCACCUAAAUUUUUGCUUUGCUUCUUUAGACCACAU
rnacentral:snRNA from 2 species